rnacentral:rRNA from 1 species
ACUCAAAUGAAUUGACGGGGGCCCGCACAAGCGGUGGAUGAUGUGGAUUAAUUCGAUGCAACGCGAAAAACCUUACCUACCCUUGACAUGCCAGGAAUGCUGCUGAGAGGCGGCAGUGCCCGAAAGGGAGCCUGGACACAGGUGCUGCAUGGCUGUCGUCAGCUCGUGUCGUGAGAUGUUGGGUUAAGUCCCGCAACGAGCGCAACCCUUGUCCUUAGUUGCCAUCAUUAAGUUGGGCACUUUAAGGAGACUGCCGGUGACAAACCGGAGGAAGGUGGGGAUGACGUCAAGUCCUCAUGGCCCUUAUGGGUAGGGCUUCACACGUCAUACAAUGGUCGGUACAGAGGGUUGCCAACCCGCGAGGGGGAGCCAAUCCCAGAAAGCCGAUCGUAGUCCGGAUCGGAGUCUGCAACUCGACUCCGUGAAGUCGGAAUCGCUAGUAAUCGCGGAUCAGCAUGUCGCGGUGAAUACGUUCCCGGGCCUUGUACACACCGCCCGU